rnacentral:lncRNA from 1 species
GUCCGCGGCUGGCAGUCAGCGCUCGCACCAUGCCCACCAACUUCACUGUGGUGCCCGUGGAGGGCGCGCGCGGGCGUCGGCGGGGCCGGGGCCGGGGACGAGGCGGUGGAGCGCACCGAGGCGCCAGGGAUCCCCGCGGACGGCGAGCCUGAGCGCCCCAGCUGGGAAACCACCAGCUCUGUCAUGCUCCAAGGCAGAAGAGGACCUGCCGAAACUGGCUAUUUCUGUGUCCCGCCCCAUCUGGCCCAGGACCUCCCAGAGCUGAGGCAUUGGGCAGUGGUGCUGUCCAUUGCCCUGUUCCACGGAGUGGAAUCGAGUCCUAAGUUUGGCCUGGCAUGGCCUGGGUGCAGACCAGCCCUCUGGAGGCGUCAUGCGUGGGCCAUGGAUGGCAGGUCCUGGCCUCCUGAUGGGAAAGCAGAGCUGUGAAUGGGGCGAGUUGAGCAUUUUCAGUCUUUAAAUGUGGGGUGCCCCGAGACAGGCUUACAGGCGGAGGGACUGAAUGGUGGGCGUUGGCAUCCUGGGUCCCCUGAGACCUCCAGCCGUCCCAUGCAUGAGCAUCUGGCCAGCUGACCGGUGCAGCUGUGUGUUACUGCCAGGCCUCCUCCCCCAGCAGACGGCAGGUGUCUGGGUCCUAUCCUCCCGACUGGGACGGCAGCUGCAUCUAAGGGCCUGGCUGAGGACACCUGAUUGGUCACCUGGCUGUCCCAUGUCACGUCAUUUGUCUGCUUCAUUCGGCCCACAGAGGCUGCCCUAGCAGUGCCCAGCGCCUGGGGACCCUGCUGGGGAGACGCAGCAGGUGGAGCAGGUCCAAGCCCUCCCUGCAGUGCUAGCCCUGGCCCUCCCUGGAUCCUUCCAGCCACCAUGAACGGGCAGACUGGUGGGGACAGGGACUCCAGUGCAGGUGAGUGGCUUUGUCCCUGAGCCCAGGGGGUCGUGGCCGGUAACUUGGACCCUGGUCCAGGAGUGUGAGGGGCUGUCCCGGGCGGGUGUGUGAGCCCUCUGUGUGUGGACUGGAUGGGCCGGGAAUGGGCUGUGUAGUACGUGGUCUCCUGUGUGCAUUUAAAAUCAAGGUGGUCUUAGUGCAAACUUCAGUUCUAAAUCCUUUCUCAGAAAACAAACGGAAUCCCAGCUACUCAGGAGAAUCAUAAAUUCGAGGCCAGCCUGAGCAAUUUAGCAAGAUGUUAUCUCAAAAAUGGAAAGGGCCGAGGGUCUAGCUCGGUGGGAGACCAGUUUCCUCGCAUGUGCAGGGCCCUGGGUUCCAUGUGCAAACAAAGAGCCAGAAGCUAAAACUUGAGUGUGUUUGGAUUUAAAAGAGUUAGAGGAGAUCUUAAAGUCAAAAAUCACCAGGCAGUGAGGUGGGCUGUGGUGCCUUCAGUUUACGGAAGGGAAGUAGUGUCUCGAAGGUGGGUGGGUAGGGUGAGGCGGGAUGUCUCUGGGACAUCUUGCACGGGAACCUGUUCCUCUCCCGGUUAUUGGCUCUGGGUAGAAACAGCCGCAUCCCCCGUGGCUGUGUCCUUCCUGCCCGGUCACUUCACUGAGUUUCGAAAGGGAUCCUCUCACAGUGGAGAGGCUGGCCUUGUAAAGGGUGGCUGCGGCUGGAGUUGUGGCUUGGGGCUCAUCAGAUAAGAGAAAACGCGUGCGGUUGGUUGCAGACGCGGCCGCUUUCGUCGCAGUCCCCAAAUCGGAAGGAUUUACCACAGUCCGGAGGGUGUGCCUCGCUCCCCUUCUAGUUUCCUGGGUUUUCUUUACUUCUCCACCCACAUCACUGUGAUGAGCCCCAGCAUGAGAUCCAGGGCUCCCUGAGCCCACAUGUGGGUUGGGAGUGUGACCCCCGAGGCCUGGCCUGGCCUGUGUUUGUGCGGUGUUUACUUCGUGAUGUCUCCCUGGGUCUCAGCCACCCUCACGGUAAACGCGGCCAGGUAUUCGCGCCGCCUGAAUGGGCUGGGCUUUCUUUCCUGCUGCCCACACCCUGCGGUGCUUUGUUCUCUGAGUGGGAAGGUGGGGGCCACCUCCCAGCUCAGCCAGACAAGAUGCCCCAGAACGCAGAGCUCCUGUGUCACUGUCACUGCUCCCUGGGGCGCCAGUCUGGGAAGGACAGUUGUUUCCCUGCUCUCCGAACAGCUGUGUGUGCGCAUUUCCGGCGUUGCGGAUAAACAGCUGUGGGCCACUGAGCCCCCAGCCACGCCAGGCUGUGCCCUCCCAAGCUGGCGGAGGGCACCACUUGCCCCUCCUCCUGCUCGGCUGCCUCUGCCUGGGAUGAGGAACUUGAGCUGCAGCAGCCGGUGACCUUGCCCAAGGUCGUGAGCCUGGCGUUGGCUCCGUCAGAGGGAGAAUCUGAAACCCAUGUACUCCCCUGCUGGGGGCAGCCGGGCUCUGUCCCAUACCCUGGGCCCUCUGGGUCCCCUGUGUGUGACUCCUGGGGCGUCUUCUGCACGCUGUCAUUGGUGCUGGUCUCUGUCACUGAUUGUGCCAGGACCCUGAUGCACGAGGGAGCAGGCCGGAGACCAGGGAGGCCUGUCUCACCCAGGGCUGCAGGCCCAGGAGAGGUGUUGGCUCCUUCUCUCCAGCGUGAGGGGCUCGGACCUUUCUUUGUGCCCGUGCUGGUUCAGCCUUGGACGUUGAGAAAGUGGCAAGAACCCCGGCUCUUUGCAUGCACUCCACCUGGAUUCCCUGAGUGGUGGCUUUGGCUGCACCUGCCUCAUGCCCCUGCCUUCCCCCUCCCCUGCUCUACCUCUCACGUGCACACACGUGCACACAGGCACGCGCACACACGCACACGCACACACACACGCCUCUGAGCUGUUGGAGAGCACAGCAGACGACGGUGCUGCUUACUCCUUCUUCGCUUUGUUUUCUGCAAGUACAGUUACCAAACCGGAGCACCAAGACUGAUACAAUAAAUAUGUGCCGUCCUCAGGUUUCACCGUGAAGGGGCUGGGGAUGUAGCUCAGUGGUGCUGCACCUGCCUGGCAAGCACAAGGUCCCGAGUUCGAUUCCUGAUACC